AGUUAUGGCUUCUAACAAGCGUCCACGUCUUUUCUCAUUAGAUGAGAUAGUAUUGAUGUGCAUCCACCAUGUUUUGAUAGGUAGCAUGCCCUGCCAUCGG